GUAGUAAUUGCUUGUUCAUGUAUUAGUGAAAUGAGCUCUCACCAUAUAUAUACUCUAUCAAUGGGUUUGCCCUGUUUUUCCAAAAGUUAUUUUUCCAUGUUCUCAGCAAUCACUCCUCUGAUAGACCCCAGCAGCUCAGCAGGACAUCCCAGGGAGCAUCAGCUUCCAGACUGCAUUUUCAGAGGAGUACCUGCAACUGCAUUGCUGCUCUACCUGCAGCUCUCUGCCCAUACUGCUGGCCAGGCUUCACUUUUAAUCUGCUGCACAGAAAACCUGACUGCGAGGAUGCUCAGGUUUGAGCUCUCAAACAGCCCCACCUGUCUCUUCAUCAAACACCCCCACCUGUGUCUCUCUCAAGUUUAGCAUCACUUCUUCACUACAAAGUAAAAGGCAUUUCAACUGGAACUUCUGGCUGUCACCCUUAUAAAAAAUACUGCUGUCCCAUUUGUUCUUUGUAGAUGGAGUAGGAAAAGCUUCAAUAUUUCUAAGGUUUGAAAAAGUUUCACAUCGAUCCUGUGAAACUCAUCUGAAUAGAUGUGAUUAAACUCACAGCUGAUGGCACUUAGCCCG